rnacentral:rRNA from 1 species
AUGGCUCAGGAUGAACGCUAGCUACAGGCUUAACACAUGCAAGUCGAGGGGCAGCAUUGGGAUAGCUUGCUAUUCAGAUGGCGACCGGCGCACGGGUGAGUAACGCGUAUCCAACCUUCCUGCCAGUAGGGAACAGCCCGGCGAAAGUCGGAUUAAUGCCCUAUGUUCUUCAAUGCGGACAUCUAAGUUGAAGGAAAGAUUCAUCGCUGGCAGAUGGGGAUGCGUCCGAUUAGCUUGCCGGCGGGUAACGGCCCACCGGGGCGACGAUCGGUAGGGGUUCUGAGAGGAAGGUCCCCCACACUGGUACUGAGACACGGACCAGACUCCUACGGGAGGCAGCAGUGAGGAAUAUUGGUCAAUGGGCGUAAGCCUGAACCAGCCAAGUAGCGUGCAGGAACCGACGGCCCUACGGGUUGUAAACUGCUUUUAUGCGGGGAUAAAGUGCGGCACGUGUGCCGCUUUGCAGGUACCGCAUGAAUAAGGACCGGCUAAUUCCGUGCCAGCAGCAGC